UAUCAUUUUUAGUUGUAGCAAUCUGCCAACAGUAAGCAAAUGCACAUCAGAUAGAACAAAAUUAGAUGGGCACCCAAAAAAACCCCUCAAAAAGAGCAUUUGCCUCAAAACCUGAAAACAAUAAGCAAGUUGCCCAUGAAAGUUCAUAACUGGUUGGACUAACAAAGGAAUAAAUGAAAAGCCUAAAACCAAGCAUAAAAAGUCACAGCAUAUAUGCAAUGAGUUAUAUAUGUUUUGAUUGCGUCAAAUACAAGAACGGGAUAGAUAAGCAAGAGUGGAGCCAACUCAACUCUUCAGGACCAGGUGUUCAAUGUGCAGAAUAAGAAAUAUGAGUUACAUGCCUAAAAUUACAUGGCGGUUCUCAAAAAUACAAUUGGGAUUUUGGACACAUAUCUGGCAGAAUACAAGGUCCAAGUAGGUGCAGGCAUGAGCCGAGCAAUGUGAAACGGUAGGAAUGAAUAUUUCAACACAAAUAUGAAACAUUUCUCCUUCUUUAGAAGGAACAAUAUUUCCACUAAAGUGCAUUCAUAUAGCAGUACCAUGGCAUCUACUUUAAGAAAGCACUAAGACGAGAAAUGAAGAUAGUUUAUGAUCCAUAGAAAAGGUUCAAAGUUUUGCAGAGCCAGAUAACACAUUCCAAAUUACCAGCGAUUGAUCAAUCUCAGAAGA
rnacentral:misc_RNA from 1 species